rnacentral:rRNA from 1 species
AUUGACGGACUGAAGGCUCUUUCUCGAUUCCGUGGAAAGUGGUGCAUGGCCGUUUUUGGUUGGUGGAUCGAUCCGUCUGGUUAAUUCCCGUUAACGAACGAGACCUCGGCACUCCGAAUAGCGCGGCGGACGUCGCGGCCUCCGGGCCGUCUUCCGCACGAGCUUCUUAGAGGGACCGUCCCCCCGCCGGGGGAAGGAGGUGCGAGGCAACGACAGGUCUGUGAUGCCCUUAGAUGUUCUGGGCCGCACGCGCAUUACACUGACGCGUCCAACGGGUGACUCCCGACCCGAAGGGGCCGGGGAAUCCGCAAGGCGCGUCGUGAUGGGGGAUUGAACGUUGCAAUUGUUGUUCACGAACGAGGAAUUCCUAGUAGGCGCGGGUCAUCAACCCGCGCCGAUUACGUCCCUGCCCUUUGUACACACC